rnacentral:rRNA from 1 species
CAAUAGCGUAUAUUUAAGUUGCUGCAGUUAAAAAGCUCGUAGUUGGAUUUCGGGUGGGAAUGGCCGGUCCGCCGUUUCGGUGUGCACUUGCUACGCCCACCUUGCUGCCGGGGACGUGCUCUUGAGUUCACGCUCGGGACACGGAGUCGGCGAGGUUACUUUGAGUAAAUUAGAGUGUUCAAAGCAGGCCUACGCUCUGAAUACAUUAGCAUGGAAUAACACGAUAGGACUCUGGCCUAUCUUGUUGGUCUGUAGGACCGGAGUAAUGAUUAAGAGGGACAGUCGGGGGCAUUCGUAUUUCAUCGUCAGAGGUGAAAUUCUUGGAUUUAUGAAAGACGAACUACUGCGAAAGCAUUUGCCAAGGAUGUUUUCAUUAA